rnacentral:rRNA from 1 species
AUCAAGGAAAGUGCAUGGUAGGCAGUUUGACUGGGGCGGUCUCCUCCUAAAGAGUAACGGAGGAGUACGAAGGUGCGCUCAGCGUGGUCGGAAAUCACGCGUAGAGUAUAAAGGCAAAAGCGCGCUUAACUGCGAGACCCACAAGUCGAGCAGGUACGAAAGUAGGUCUUAGUGAUCCGGUGGUUCU